UUAAGCGACUAAGCGUACACGGUGGAUGCCCUGGCAGUCAGAGGCGAUGAAGGACGUGCUAAUCUGCGAUAAGCGUCGGUAAGGUGAUAUGAACCGUUAUAACCGGCGAUUUCCGAAUGGGGAAACCCAGUGUGAUUCGUCACACUAUCAUUAACUGAAUCCAUAGGUUAAUGAGGCGAACCGGGGGAACUGAAACAUCUAAGUACCCCGAGGAAAAGAAAUCAACCGAGAUUCCCCCAGUAGCGGCGAGCGAACGGGGAGGAGCCCAGAGCCUGAAUCAGUAUGUGUGUUAGUGGAAGCGUCUGGAAAGGCGUGCGAUACAGGGUGACAGCCCCGUACACAAAAAUGCACAUGCUGUGAGCUCGAUGAGUAGGGCGGGACACGUGGUAUCCUGUCUGAAUAUGGGGGGACCAUCCUCCAAGGCUAAAUACUCCUGACUGACCGAUAGUGAACCAGUACCGUGAGGGAAAGGCGAAAAGAACCCCGGCGAGGGGAGUGAAAAAGAACCUGAAACCGUGUACGUACAAGCAGUGGGAGCCUCUUUAAUGGGGUGACUGCGUACCUUUUGUAUAAUGGGUCAGCGACUUAUAUUCUGUAGCAAGGUUAACCGAAUAGGGGAGCCGAAGGGAAACCGAGUCUUAACUGGGCGUUAAGUUGCAGGGUAUAGACCCGAAACCCGGUGAUCUAGCCAUGGGCAGGUUGAAGGUUGGGUAACACUAACUGGAGGACCGAACCGACUAAUGUUGAAAAAUUAGCGGAUGACUUGUGGCUGGGGGUGAAAGGCCAAUCAAACCGGGAGAUAGCUGGUUCUCCCCGAAAGCUAUUUAGGUAGCGCCUCGUGAAUUCAUCUCCGGGGGUAGAGCACUGUUUCGGCAAGGGGGUCAUCCCGACUUACCAACCCGAUGCAAACUGCGAAUACCGGAGAAUGUUAUCACGGGAGACACACGGCGGGUGCUAACGUCCGUCGUGAAGAGGGAAACAACCCAGACCGCCAGCUAAGGUCCCAAAGUCAUGGUUAAGUGGGAAACGAUGUGGGAAGGCCCAGACAGCCAGGAUGUUGGCUUAGAAGCAGCCAUCAUUUAAAGAAAGCGUAAUAGCUCACUGGUCGAGUCGGCCUGCGCGGAAGAUGUAACGGGGCUAAACCAUGCACCGAAGCUGCGGCAGCGACACUAUGUGUUGUUGGGUAGGGGAGCGUUCUGUAAGCCGUUGAAGGUGUGCUGUGAGGCAUGCUGGAGGUAUCAGAAGUGCGAAUGCUGACAUAAGUAACGAUAAAGCGGGUGAAAAGCCCGCUCGCCGGAAGACCAAGGGUUCCUGUCCAACGUUAAUCGGGGCAGGGUGAGUCGACCCCUAAGGCGAGGCCGAAAGGCGUAGUCGAUGGGAAACAGGUUAAUAUUCCUGUACUUGGUGUUACUGCGAAGGGGGGACGGAGAAGGCUAUGUUGGCCGGGCGACGGUUGUCCCGGUUUAAGCGUGUAGGCUGAUUUUCCAGGCAAAUCCGGAGAAUCAAGGCUGAGGCGUGAUGACGAGGCACUACGGUGCUGAAGCAACAAAUGCCCUGCUUCCAGGAAAAGCCUCUAAGCAUCAGGUAACAUCAAAUCGUACCCCAAACCGACACAGGUGGUCAGGUAGAGAAUACCAAGGCGCUUGAGAGAACUCGGGUGAAGGAACUAGGCAAAAUGGUGCCGUAACUUCGGGAGAAGGCACGCUGAUAUGUAGGUGAAGCGACUUGCUCGUGGAGCUGAAAUCAGUCGAAGAUACCAGCUGGCUGCAACUGUUUAUUAAAAACACAGCACUGUGCAAACACGAAAGUGGACGUAUACGGUGUGACGCCUGCCCGGUGCCGGAAGGUUAAUUGAUGGGGUCAGCCGCAAGGCGAAGCUCUUGAUCGAAGCCCCGGUAAACGGCGGCCGUAACUAUAACGGUCCUAAGGUAGCGAAAUUCCUUGUCGGGUAAGUUCCGACCUGCACGAAUGGCGUAAUGAUGGCCAGGCUGUCUCCACCCGAGACUCAGUGAAAUUGAACUCGCUGUGAAGAUGCAGUGUACCCGCGGCAAGACGGAAAGACCCCGUGAACCUUUACUAUAGCUUGACACUGAACAUUGAGCCUUGAUGUGUAGGAUAGGUGGGAGGCUUUGAAGUGUGGACGCCAGUCUGCAUGGAGCCGACCUUGAAAUACCACCCUUUAAUGUUUGAUGUUCUAACGUGGACCCGUGAUCCGGGUUGCGGACAGUGUCUGGUGGGUAGUUUGACUGGGGCGGUCUCCUCCUAAAGAGUAACGGAGGAGCACGAAGGUUGGCUAAUCCUGGUCGGACAUCAGGAGGUUAGUGCAAUGGCAUAAGCCAGCUUGACUGCGAGCGUGACGGCGCGAGCAGGUGCGAAAGCAGGUCAUAGUGAUCCGGUGGUUCUGAAUGGAAGGGCCAUCGCUCAACGGAUAAAAGGUACUCCGGGGAUAACAGGCUGAUACCGCCCAAGAGUUCAUAUCGACGGCGGUGUUUGGCACCUCGAUGUCGGCUCAUCACAUCCUGGGGCUGAAGUAGGUCCCAAGGGUAUGGCUGUUCGCCAUUUAAAGUGGUACGCGAGCUGGGUUUAGAACGUCGUGAGACAGUUCGGUCCCUAUCUGCCGUGGGCGCUGGAGAACUGAGGGGGGCUGCUCCUAGUACGAGAGGACCGGAGUGGACGCAUCACUGGUGUUCGGGUUGUCAUGCCAAUGGCACUGCCCGGUAGCUAAAUGCGGAAGAGAUAAGUGCUGAAAGCAUCUAAGCACGAAACUUGCCCCGAGAUGAGUUCUCCCUGAGACUUUAAGUCUCCUGAAGGAACGUUGAAGACGACGACGUUGAUAGGCCGGGUGUGUAAGCGCAGCGAUGCGUUGAGCUAACCGGUACUAAUGAACCGUGAGGCUUAACCUU
rnacentral:rRNA from 2 species